UAAUUUUAAAACAAGAGGUGGCUGGACAGCUGGCUUCUCUGGCAUAAUACUGUAAAGGGGCCUUAGAAAACACUAACAUACACACCCUAUUAGGUACAAGUUGUUAUGUGGAAUCACAGGACCUGAUGGAGAGCUUACGACAUAAUGGUUUCUUUGGACGAAUAAAAUACAUCAUUUUCAAGAAAGAGCAAAAAAAAAAAAAAAAAAGGCUUUCUGUGCAUUUUGUAUUUUAAGCAUGAAGAGAUGUUAAAAUUUCAACACCAUGUACUGCAGAGAUGGACAACUUAAAUGAUGGAGGGGCUGCAAUUUUUCAUUAGCACUACUGGGGGAAGACACUUACCUAACCAGACAAAAUUGCCAUACAUGGACAAAAAAUGUGCUGGCCCUCUUGUAGCUAUAAUCUGCAUACAGUUGCAGAAAA